AGACAGGGUCUCGCUUUGUUGCCCAGGCUGGUGUCAAACUCCUGGCCUCAAGCCAUCCUCCCGCUUUAGUCUCUGAAAGUGCUGGGAUUACAACUGUGAGCCACCGCACCCAGCCAUUCAACUAUAUAUUUAAUACACUUAUUCAACACUCAUUUCCUUCUAUUAAACCCAUCUCUGCGCUCCAGCCACUGAAUGUCACCCUAGUUUUGGUAGGGCCCUAUGACGUCAACAUAGCUUUACUGAUAACUGAAUAGUUCAAUAUUAAGAAUUAUUUAACAUGAAGGAAGAAUGAACAUGAACAUGAAAAUAGAAAAUAUCAGUUAAAUACUAUUUUAUUGUAUGUUUAUUAACAUUUUUAUCAAAGGUACAACAAUAUUGACAUUAUUGUGUAAUUUGCUUUUUUGGCUUAAUAUUAUAGUUUAUUUUUCCGAAGUACACGUUUAUAAAUUUAGUUCUAAAUCAUUAAUUAUAACUGCUG
rnacentral:lncRNA from 10 species